rnacentral:misc_RNA from 1 species
GUAGGUGAACCUGCGGAAGGAUCAUUAACACGUAUCCUAACGUUAAACCCCCCUGUGAACUUUCAACGUACUCUCGUCACCCCCGCAAGAGGCAAUCCCUGGUAAAUCAUGUUGACCAGCUUUGAGUCAGGGACUACCGGCUACGGGCGAAAUUACAGUGGCGAUAUGAGCGCUUGAUACACUUUCUAAGUCUCCUCGCGGCCCGCUAUGAAAAGGAAAGUGUCAUAGUGGAGACAGACAACAGGAGAAC